rnacentral:rRNA from 1 species
CGGCGCACAUAAGACAUGCAAGUCGAACGGAAGUCGCUAAGAAACGGAUUGACGAUUAUCAGAUUGAAGUUCAUAGCAAUGGCUUUAGUGGCGGACUGGUGAGUAACACGUAAGCAACCUGCCUAUCAGAGGGGAAUAACAGUGAGAAAUCAUUGCUAAUACCGCAUAAGCUAGUAAUAUCGCAUGAUAUAGCUAGAAAAGGAGCAAUCCGCUGAUAGAUGGGCUUGCGUCUGAUUAGCUAGUUGGUGGGGUAACGGCCUACCAAGGCAACGAUCAGUAGCCGGACUGAGAGGUUGAACGGCCACAUUGGGACUGAGAUGCGGCCCAGACUCCUACGGGAGGCAGCAGUCGGGAAUAUUGCGCAAUGGAGGAAACUCUGAACCGCAGUGACGCCGCGUAUAGGAAGAAGGUUUUCGGAUUGUAAACUAUUGUCGUGAGGGAAGAAAUUGACAGUACCUCAGGAGGAAGCUCCGGCUAACUAUGUGCCAGCCGCCGC